rnacentral:tRNA from 1 species
GCCCGGGUGGCGAAAUUGGUAGACGCAAGGGACUUAAAAUCCCUCGGCGGCAACUCCAUGCCGGUUCGAGUCCGGCCCUGGGCACCA